GAGGAGCUGGAUAAAACAGUGCAUUAUCAUGCUAUCUCUGGCUUUAAUGCUGAGGAACUACACAGAGUCCUACCUUUUAUAGGAUCUUUUACACUGAUUUUGAAAAAGUCACUGAACAUCCAGGUGAUCAAAUAGCUACCUUCUCCAAAAUAGUGGAUUCUUUCACUACAGAUCUCUCCCGAGCUGCCUGAAUAUCUGUGAAUCAGUAUUUCUCCAUUUCCUUCAAAGAUCUGGGUGAUUACGCAGAAGCUUGAACUUAACCAUGUAUGCAGCAGCCAGGAGAAAAGGGAUUACUUCUUUGCUUCCCAGCAUUAACAAAAAGGAAAUGGGAAGAAAUACAUCAUCAUGAAAUCCAUGUGGGAUAGCAGAUGAACAGCAACAUGGAAAACAUAUGUAAAAGCAAGUCUCCAGUUCUCAUUCUGACCUACUCAGCACCACCUGGCUCAGGAAGACUGAACAUAGCCUGGCUAGAGGAUGCCAGAAUAUUAGCAAGAUGCAAGUAUCCCGUAACUUCAUAUUUUUGCCAAAGCAUUGGAAAUGAAGAAGCAUUUAUCUGACCCAUUACAACUGCUCUUAUAUUUUUAUGUACUUUUUCAUUUAUUAUAAAAUUGCACAAAAGUCCUAUUAUGAUUCAUCAUUGUUCCCUUUCAUGCUAGAAAGAGAAUUAUUUCUUUUCAUAUAUUAAAUAGAAAUUGAAAAUUAACCUAAAACUUUUGUUCGUUGACAUGUAGUUUGAUAUUCUACAUACUAGUUUCGUUGAAUACUAUGCUCAGAUAGGACAACUCUUCUGAAUAAUAACUAUACUCACAUGAACUAAACAAAUUUCUGAGUUCAAAAUUCAUAUAAAUUCACAUUCUACCUGAGAAUAACAUGCCUAAAUUAUUUACCUCUUUCUGAUCAAGCUGCAGAGAUGAUUUUAUCAAAUCACGGAGAGCAGUAAGUUGUUUUUUUUCUUCAUCUUGUGUCUGCUUUAUCUGUGGAAAGAGAUUGCCAUUUUAGCUUCAUGGAUGCAAUGUUUAUUCCAAAUUUUA